AGUGAACGCUGGCGGUAGGCCUAACACAUGCAAGUCGAACGGCAGCACAGUAAGAGCUUGCUCUUACGGGUGGCGAGUGGCGGACGGGUGAGGAAUACAUCGGAAUCUACUUUUUCGUGGGGGAUAACGUAGGGAAACUUACGCUAAUACCGCAUACGACCUACGGGUGAAAGCAGGGGAUCUUCGGACCUUGCGCGACUGAAUGAGCCGAUGUCGGAUUAGCUAGUUGGCGAGGUAAAGGCCCACCAAGGCGACGAUCCGUAGCUGGUCUGAGAGGAUGAUCAGCCACACUGGAACUGAGACACGGUCCAGACUCCUACGGGAGGCAGCAGUGGGGAAUAUUGGACAAUGGGCGCAAGCCUGAUCCAGCCAUACCGCGUGGGUGAAGAAGGCCUUCGGGUUGUAAAGCCCUUUUGUUGGGAAAGAAAAGCAGCAGGUUAAUACCCCGCUGUUCUGACGGUACCCAAAGAAUAAGCACCGGCUAACUUCGUG
rnacentral:rRNA from 1 species